AGAGUUUGAUCCUGGCUCAGAUUGAACGCUGGCGGCGUGGCUAAAGCAUGCAAGUCGAGCGAACCCGCAAGGGUGAGCGGCGGACGGGUUAGUAAUACGAUCGAACGUGCCCUGAGGCGGGGGAUAGGCGUGGGAAACUGCGCGUAAUACCCCAUGAUCUCUCCGGAGCAAAGGUUUACCACCUUGGGAUCGGCGAUCGUCCUAUCAGCUAGUUGGCGGGGUAAUGGCCCACCAAGGCUAUGACGGGUAGCAGGUGUGAGAGCACGACCUGCAACAUCGGGACUGAGACACUGCCCGGACUCCUACGGGAGGCUGCAGCGACGAAUCUUCCGCAAUGGGCGCAAGCCUGACGGAGCGACGCCGCGUGUGGGAUGAAGCGUCUACGACGUGUAAACCACUGUCAGGGAACAGAACCAAUGAUCGUUCCCAAAGGAAGAGACGGCUAACCCUGUGCCAGCAGCCGCGGUAAGACAGGGGUCUCGAGCGUUAAUCGGAAUUACUGGGCUUAAAGGGUGCGUAGGCCGGCCCGCAAGUGCUUUGUGAAAUCCCCCGGCUCAACCGGGGAACAGCUUGGCAUACUGCGGGUCUUGAGGAAGGCAGGGGUCGCCAGAACUGUAGGUGGAGCGGUGAAAUGCGUAGAUAUCUACAGGAAUGCCGGUGGUGAAGACGGGCGACUGGGCCUUUCCUGACGCUGAGGCACGAAAGCGUGGGGAGCAAACAGGAUUAGAUACCCUGGUAGUCC
rnacentral:rRNA from 1 species